GCCGAAGUGGCGGAAUGGCAGACGCCGCGGAUUCAAAAUCCGUUGCCCUCAAAAGCGUGCGGGUUCAAGUCCCGCCUUCGGCACUA
rnacentral:tRNA from 1 species